UACGUAGGGUGCAAGCGUUAAUCGGAAUUACUGGGCGUAAAGCGUGCGCAGGCGGUUUUGUAAGUCUGUCGUGAAAUCCCCGGGCUUAACCUGGGAAUUGCGAUGGAGACUGCAAGGCUAGAAUCUGGCAGAGGGGGGUAGAAUUCCACGUGUAGCAGUGAAAUGCGUAGAGAUGUGGAGGAACACCGAUGGCGAAGGCAGCCCCCUGGGUCAAGAUUGACGCUCAUGCACGAAAGCGUGGGGAGCAAACAGG
rnacentral:rRNA from 2 species